GAUGAACGCUGGCGGCGUGCCUAAUACAUGCAAGUCGAGCGAACAGACGAGGAGCUUGCUCCUCUGACGUUAGCGGCGGACGGGUGAGUAACACGUGGAUAACCUACCUAUAAGACUGGGAUAACUUCGAGAAACCGGAGCUAAUACCGGAUAACAUUUUGAACCGAAUGGUUCAACAGUGAAAGACGGUUUUGCUGUCACUUAUAGAUGGAUCCGCGUCGCAUUAGCUAGUUGGUAAGGUAACGGCUUACCAAGGCAACGAUCCGUAGCCGACCUGAGAGGGGGAUCGGCCACACUGGAACUGAGACACGGUCCAGACUCCUACGGGAGGCAGCAGUAGGGAAUCUUCCGCAAUGGGCGAAAGCCUGACGGAGCAACGCCGCGUGAGUGAAGAAGGUCUUCGGAUCGUAAAACUCUGUUAUUAGGGAAGAACAAAUGUGUAAGUAACUAUGCACGUCUUGACGGUACCUAAUCAGAAAGCCACGGCUAACUACGUG
rnacentral:rRNA from 1 species